rnacentral:rRNA from 1 species
CAAUUAAAGUGGUACGCGAGCUGGGUUCAGACCGGCGUGAGCCAGGUCGGUCCCUAUCUGCCGUGGGCGCAGGAAUCUUGAAGGGAUGUUUCCUUAGUACGAGAGGACCGGGAAGCACCGACCUCUGGUGUACCAGCUGUCGCGCUAGCGGCACCGCUGGGUAGCUAUGUCGGGACAGGAUAACCGCUGAAAGCAUCUAAGCGGGAAGCCCCCCCUAAGACGAGGAUUCCAUGGACAAUGUCCUGAAGAGCCCUGGAAGACUACCAGGUUGAUAGGCCGGGUGUGUAAGCGGCGAAAUCCGCUCAGCUAACCGGUACUAACGCUCAAUCACUUGACCAUAU